UUAAGGUUUAUGAAUUAAAUCGAAAAUUCUAUUAGCUGAAAUAAUAACUUAAUCUUUAUUUUGGUUAUUAGAAGAAGUUAAAUGAUUUUAAAUUUGUUAAGGUAGUUUGCGAAUCCAAAAUUUAAAAAGUUAUUCAUGACUAACAAUUGAAUCUGAACCAGUUAACAAUUUCAUAUAUCUAAUUGUUCCAAUCUCUUUUCUUCACUUAGACAAAAUCUCUCACAAAGAACUUUCUUAAUAGUUUCAUAAUUAUUCGAAAACGGAGGUGGAUUAAUAACAUCGAUAAUUUUGAAAAUAGUUUCUCGUUGAAGAGCAAUUAAAACAUUUUGAAAUUCAAUGUUAUAAUUAUAAAUAUUAUUAAUUUCAAAUUGUCCUUCAACAAGCAAAAACCAUGCUUCAGGAUAUUCAUUCCAAAACGGAGAAAGACGAGAAAUAUAUUUUAUUGCUAUCAUUGAUGUGUUGACCCAGUAUGGUGUAAAGAAACAGGCCGCAAAAGCAGCUAAAACGGUAAAGUAUGGAGGUAAUGUCGACGGUAUUUCUACAUGUGAUCCAGACCAAUAUGCUAAACGGUUUCUAGAUUUCAUGGAUAAAGCGAUUGAGUAAUCAGUUGUCUUGGAUAACGUGAAUUUAAGAUCAGAUUAUUUUAAAUUAAGUACUCAAGUAACAACUUAAAAUUAUUGCGAUGCGAAAUAUGCAAAUGUUGUGAUUUCAUACUAGGUAACUUUAAUAAUACUUCCUUUUUUUGGUAUGCCAACUGUUUGAAGAACUAACAUUUAUGAAAUUUUUUACUAAUAUACGAAAGAAAAUAAAUUUAUUUUAUUAUGUUGAUUUCGUACUUCAAGCGCUAAUAGAUACGAUAACAUUCCCAAACAUAUUUAAACAAAGGUCAGUGUAAAGAUAGAAUAACAUCUUGUUGGAUAUAAUUUAGUUUCUGACUUUAUUGAAAUAAUUUGAAGAAUUGUGUUCUUUGCUUUAAUGUCAUCUAUGUUUCUUCAAAAUCACUAAUUAUUAUAUAUUAUUUGCAUACAAAUUA
rnacentral:lncRNA from 1 species